UAUAUUAAAAUUGAGCUCAAGCCCUUUAUUUUUUUAUUUUUUCCCCCCUGUUAGACAAUUCUCUUUCGGAAUUUAUUGUAAACUUGUAAUGAAUUAGUUAUUUAGUUAGUGUUAGUUUGUUUACUUAUUCAAUUUUGAAGAUUGUAAUUUGUAUCCAUAUAAUAUUUUUUGUAUACAUAGAAUAAAUUCAAUUUUUAUGCAUUAUUUUGAUUGUCAAUGUGUUAGAAUUAUUGUACUUUUAUUGUAUUUCAAUUUUCAA
rnacentral:lncRNA from 1 species